GACGGAGGGUGCUAGCGUUGUUCGGAAUUACUGGGCGUAAAGGGCGCGUAGGCGGGCUGCCAAGUUUGGGGUGAAAUCCUCCGGCUCAACCGGGGAAGUGCCUUGAAUACUGGCGGUCUGGAGGGAGGUAGGGGCGUGCGGAACUGUAGGUGGAGCGGUGAAAUGCGUUGAUAUCUACAGGAACUCCGGUGGCGAAGGCGGCACGCUGGACCUUUUCUGACGCUGAGGCGCGAAAGCCAGGGGAGCGAACGGG
rnacentral:rRNA from 1 species